AUGUGUACAUCCGCAGAGAGCGCAGCGAGUCCGUCGUUAGAUAGAGACGUUGGGCAGUUCAGUGGACCUGCCCAGCUUGAGGGCGAAUCCGUCCCGACGUUAUCUGUUUUCAUAGGAUGGAGAGCAGCGUGGAAGAUGACACCUAUUCUACACUCCAUAGCAAAAAUGAUGAAAAAGAAGAUGAACCAUCAUCACCCCUUCAGUCUCC